rnacentral:rRNA from 1 species
CCUACGAGCGGCAGCAGUGAGGAAUAUUGGUCAAUGGACGCAAGUCUGAACCAGCCAUGCCGCGUGCAGGAAGACGGCUCUAUGAGUUGUAAACUGCUUUUGUACGAGAGUAAACGCAGAUACGCGUAUCUGUCUGAAAGUAUCGUACGAAUAAGGAUCGGCUAACUCCGUGCCAGCAGCCGCGGUAAUACGGAGGAUGCAAGCGUUACCCGGAGUUAUUGGGUUUAAAGGGUGCGUAGGCGGUCGGAUAAGUUAGAGGUGAAAUCCCGAGGCUUAACUUCGGAAUUGCCUUUGAUACUGUUCGGCUAGAGAGUAGGUGCGGUAGGUGGAAUGUAUGGUGUAGCGGUGAAAUGCUUAGAGAUCAUACAGAACACCGAUUGCGAAGGCAGCUUACCAAGCUACUUCUGACGUUGAGGCACGAAAGCGUGGGGAGCAAACAGGAUUAGAUACCCCAGUAGUC